UAAGUACUCCCUCCGUUCCAUAAUUCUUGUCGAAAUAUUACAUGUAUCUAGACACAUUUUAGGAAUAGAUACAUCCACUUUUGGACAAAUUUGAGACAAGAAUUACGGAAUUAAGGGAGUACUUG
rfam:Brachypodium distachyon strain Bd21 chromosome 2, whole genome shotgun sequence.